UACGUAGGGUGCGAGCGUUAAUCGGAAUUACUGGGCGUAAAGCGUGCGCAGGCGGUUUUUUCAGACAGAUGUGAAAUCCCCGGGCUUAACCUGGGAACUGCAUUUGUGACUGCAAGACUAGAGUGCGGCAGAGGGGGGUAGAAUUCCACGUGUAGCAGUGAAAUGCGUAGAUAUGUGGAGGAAGACCGAUGGCGAAGGCGACUACCUGGACAAUUGCUGACACUCAGGCACGAAAGCAUGGGGAGCAAAAGGG
rnacentral:rRNA from 1 species